UGAGGUACGAAAGCGUGGGGAGCAAACAGGAUUAGAUACCUGGUAGUCCACGCGUAAGCGAUGAUAACUAGCUGUUCGGUCUCUACGAGCUUGAGUGGCGCAGCUAACGCAUUAAGUUAUCCGCCUGGGGAGUACGGUCGCAAGAUUAAAACUCAAAGGAAUUGACGGGGGCCUGCACAAGUGGUGGAGCAUGUGGUUUAAUUCGAAGCAACGCGCAGAACCUUACCAGCGUUUGACAUCCUAAUCGCGGUUUUCAGAGAUGAUUACCUUCAGUUCGGCUGGAUUAGUGACAGGUGCUGCAUGGCUGUCGUCAGCUCGUGUCGUGAGAUGUUGGGUUAAGUCCCGCAACGAGCGCAACCCUCGUCCUUAGUUGCCAUCAUUCAGUUGGGCACUCUAAGGAAACUGCCGGUGAUAAGCCGGAGGAAGGUGGGGAUGACGUCAAGUCCUCAUGGCCCUUACACGCUGGGCUACACACGUGCUACAAUGGCGGUGACAGUGGGCAGCAACCGGGCGACCGGUAGCUAAUCUCCAAAAACCGUCUCAGUUCGGAUUGUUCUCUGCAACUCGAGAGCAUGAAGGCGGAAUCGCUAGUAAUCGCGGAUCAGCAUGCCACGGUGAAUACGUUCCCAGGCCUUGUACACACCGCCCGUCACACCAUGGGAUUUGGAUUCACCCGAAGGCAGUGCGCUAACCGCAAGGAGGCAGCUGACC
rnacentral:rRNA from 1 species